GUCUUUUUAAAGUUCAAUAGAGUUCAAAGAAUAAAGAAAGCAAAAAAGAAUAACCUUCGCUAUCAUUUAUAUCGGUUAUGACGUUUUGCUGUUAGCAGCAGUGCUAAUGCUAGCUUCAAUGCUAAUGCUAGCAACAAUGCUAACGCUAGCGAUAGUGCUAACACUAGCCUUAGCAGUUGUUAACUGACAAAAAGAAUAUUCCUGUGAUAUUUAUUGGUGAUCAGUGAGACAAAAGUAACGAAUGAGCUUUAUUAUUACCAUUGUGGCUCAGUUUUAACAGUAAGAGUACUAGCACUACCAGCAGUUCUAACACUAGCUGCAAUGCUGACGCUAGCUGCAAUGCUAACGCUAGCUGCAAUGCUAACGCUAGCUGCAGUGCUAACACUAACUGAAGUGUUUAUGCUAGCAGGAAUGCUAGCGCUAGCAGCAAUGCUAAUGCUAGUAACAGUCUAACAGUAGCCUUACAUAAGUGGAAAUACUUCAGUUAAUUAGUUUGAAUUACAAAAUGGUUGCUGUGUCAGCUGGUGUGCUAUAUUACUCUAUAAUUACCCUGCUGACUAUAAGUUCAGUAUAUCAUGUCGUGUGGGCUUUGUAUUUCUGUAAGUCUGAUAACACUGUACAGACAACUAACAUAUUAUUUCUCGUCUUACACUUUCAGGAACUUGACUGACAUCUGUGCUUUGCCUGUGUGCAGAAGAACAAGGACCAGAUCUCCAGUCUUCUCUGUCACAUCCCAACCCCACAUCCCCUCUAUCCUCUGUCCUGCUCCACCUGUUGUCUCUGCCUUCUUUCCAUCUGUAUUUCACCCUGUGGUUUGUGAGAAAUUUUGCCAAACCAAGAAUCUUAUUGCGGUUUGAUUUCAAAGCCGUGUCUCUCCUGCUCUGUCUGUUCUCUCUGCUAAAUUUUCUCUCUACCUGUUUUUCACUCUUUGGCUUGCUGCUGAGAAAUGCCACAAGCCAUAAAGCAAUAAAGAGUGCAUAUUUUGCCUCAACCUUUGAACAAACUGAACAAACAAAGAAAACUCUACGGUUUGAUUUCAAAACCGUGUCUUUCCUGCUCUCUCUGUUCUCUCUGCUAAAUUUUCUCUCUACCUGUUUUUCACUCUUUGGCUUGCUGCUGAGAAAUGCACAAGCCAAUAAAGCAAUAAAGAGUGCAUAUUUUGCCUCAACCUUUGAACAAACUGAACAAGAAAACUCUGCGGUUUGAUUUCCAAGCCGUGUCUCUCCUGCUCUGCCUGUUCUCUCUGCUAAAUUUUCUCUCUACCUGUUUUUCACUCUUGGCUUGCUGCUGAAAAAUGCCAAGCCAUUAAAGCAUAAAGAGUGCAUAUUGCCUCUACCUGAGAACAAACUGAACAAAUAAAGAAAACUCUAAUUCACGGUUUGAUUGUCAUUUCCCAGCCGCGUCUCUCCUGCUCUGUCUAUUCUCUCUUCUAAAUUUUCUCUCUACCUGUUUUUCAUUCUGGGCUUGCUGCUAAGUUGUGCCAAGCCAAUAAAGAGAGUACAUAAUAUUCUCUCGACUGACAAACUGUCAAACAAACAAAGACAUUGUUUCUGAGAAAUAAAAGCUGAAAUAUAAAGACAAAGAAAACAUCUCCUGCUGUGUGCCACUCUUGUUUUUUGAAUACAUUUUCUAAAGACUAACAGAA
ensembl:lncRNA